GGUCAUCUCCAUGGGAAGAAGAUCCGCUCUUACUGCAGAAUCGUUGGUUCAUUUACUGAUUUGUUCAGUGAGUUUGCUGCUGACACCAUGCAGGUCACUGGGCCAAGCCAGGGGUUAAGAACUGUGAGGGAACCUCGGCUGCAAGAGGUGGAGUGAGUUGUCCAAGGCCACACGGCUGACACUACGAUCAUUCACCUGCCUUCCACCUGACCAAGAGCACCCCACAAAUGAGGCUGUGUUUCAGCGGAAGCAGGUUCCAGCUCUGAUAUUUUCCCAAAUAUCUGGUCUCACGUCUUCUUCCAGUACCUCGCCGCUCCCCGUUCAGAGGCAGAGUCGAUUUCCUGGUCCUUGGAACGUGGGUGGGUUUUGUGAGUGCCCUGAUGAAUAAAAUAUCGUAGAAGUGA